GUAGAAUGUAGCUUAGUGGUAGUGCUUGCCUCGUAUGUGUGAGGCCCUGGGUUCAAUCCCCAGCACCUACU
rnacentral:tRNA from 1 species